ensembl:rRNA 5S_rRNA 5S ribosomal RNA
AUCUAUGGCCAUACCACCCUGAAUGUGCCUGAUCUUGUCUGAUCUCAGAAGCUAAGCAGGGUCAGGUCUAGUUAGUACUUGAAUGGUAAAAUGACUGCACCUCCUUGUGUU